GUCCACGCCGUAAACGAUGGGUACUAGGCGCCGGGGGGAGCGACCCCUUCGGUGCCGUCGCUAACGCAAUAAGUACCCCGCCUGGGGAGUACGGCCGCAAGGCUGAAACUCAAAGGAAUUGACGGGGGCCCGCACAAGCGGUGGAGCAUGUGGUUUAAUUCGAAGCAACGCGAAGAACCUUACCUGGGCUUGACAUGCACGGGAAAGCCGGUGGAAACAUCGGCCCCUCUUCGGAGUCCGUGCACAGGUGCUGCAUGGCUGUCGU
rnacentral:rRNA from 1 species